rnacentral:sRNA from 1 species
UAACCGCAUCAGGUCUCCAAGGU